rnacentral:lncRNA from 1 species
AAAAAAAAAAAGUUAUUGUUUUUAUAUUGUUAUUGUCCCUGGGAAUCUUUGCUAUCGGUGUACUGUGUACUUCCUGCCUACCUCUGAGUUUGUAAAGUAGGUAAAAGAGCAGAUGUGAUUGCUAAGAAUAUAGCAUUGACCUCUAUGUAAAAUUUAUAGGUUCUCACACAGAGUGCUGAGGCUUUUGAUCAGCAUCUUUGAAAGUAUUGCUUGUAUACAUUUCAAGUAAAAGAUCAUUCUAAUUAUUUCAUAGUCAUACUUUACAUGAAAGAGCUUUGUAAAUAAUUGGAAAAUCUUUAACAAGCUUUGAUUAAUAAUGCUGGCUUUAAUUUUAACUUCAUAUUAUUGUUUUCCAAAUGAUUUCCAUAAUAGAGACCAUGGUGGAUCUAAGCAUGAGAUUUUAAGUUCCUGCCUUUCAAAGGUGUGGCUAAAAACAAGGAGGAUAGAAAACACUGUGUGCUGUCAUGCCAAGCUCUCUGUGUAGGGACUUUAUCUUCACCAUUGCAUUUCAUCCUCAAAACAGCCCUGCAAGGUAAGUAUCUGUAUUUUAUAGAUGGGAAAAACUAAGAUUCAGAAAGUUUACAUAACUACAAAUCUGGUAAGAACUAGAGCCGAGAUCCAUUUCCUGCUCUGUCUUUUCUCACAGUUGUUGCUACAAGGCCACUGAGCUGACUCACCACCCCGGGAGUCAGUGAAGGCUUCCCCGAGGAAGCAGUGUUUGAGCUGAGCCUUGAAACAGAAGUAAGAAGACUCCAGGAGAAGGCUGCAGUAGAGGCUAGAGCUAUUUUUCCUGGCAACAGACCCAGAGAGAAGCUCAACACUUGGAGUAUGAAAGGAGAGUUGGAAAGAAAUCAACUGUGGAAUAACUGCCCAAACUAUCAAUCGAUCAAGAGUGAGGCAUUUUCAAGCAUGCAAGAACUCAGACCAUUUACCACCCACAGACUAUUUCUGAAAGAAUUACUGAAGCAAAACAAAAAAGAAUCCAAGUAGGAGGAAGCCAUGGCCUCUAAGGAACAGUGGAUCUCACCCAAGAUUGUAAUGAAAUAUAAUUCCAGGAUGACAACCUUGAGGCAGGCCUAGAAAGCCAUCAGUCUGAAUUAGAACCAGAAGUCAGAUGCUCUGUGAAGAAUCUCUUUCAGGAGGACAUGGAUUUCUUCUAUAAAUUGAAUGACUGAGAAGCUGAGUGGUCUUGUGACAAGGCAAAGGCAUGGUAGGUCAUUGUGAUAAGGUAUCAUCCAAACACUCUCCAAACUGUGAAGUAAUUUUCUUCUUCCAAUAGCAAAGGUUUAUUGACAAGAGUUACGUCUCCUCUAUAGGCUCAAGGGCACAGCUGUGCUUGGUUCUGCAGUGAACAAUGAUCUCCCUACGAAUAUUAUGAAUGCUACUUUUCAGUUUUCAGUUUAAAAAAUCAAUUUAUAGACAAUGCAUCAAAGAUUAAUUGUAGUUAUAGGACAAGUGUGAAAACAAUAGUACACUGGAAUGGAGGUUAGGAGAGAGGGAAGGAGCAAAGGAACAAGAUGUAAUGAUGUUGGAUUCUUUUCAUCAGAAAUAAAAAGAAUUAAGAGAUA